GAGGGCUUUCUCCACCUGGCAUUGUGUACACCCCUGUCCUUUUGAACAGCACCUGCCGACAGGACUCUCGGACUCUCGUCCCUUUGAAGAAAGCUCCUCUGGAGCUCCCACACUGGCCUGGGCCUCUGUGGCCAGCUGGGUAGUGGAGUUUCCCCCCAGCGCUCGCUGAGCUGUAUCCAGAUUCCACAAAGCAGAGGUAGCCCCAGGGCUCACAACAGGGGGAGUGGUUUAGGGACCCACCCAAUCCUGCAGUCUCCAGCAGCUCCCCUGUGGGGGAUAUUCUUAACCUCGUGGUGGCCAGGAUGUAUCUGUUUCAGGGGACUGGAAUUCUUACCUGUAUGCCAGGAACCAGGAAUCCCAGGCAGAUGAUUGUGUAAGCCCCAACCCUGAUGUCAACCCGGGCACCUUUUGUCUCCUCUGUAUCCUAGCACUUAGCAUCCAUUAUAGCCAUGGCUCAGGGGUGGGGAGAGAAACCUGAAAGGAUGUCAAGACAGAGAGAGGGCUGAGAACCCAUUUGUGGAGUAUCUAUUGGUGGUUACUGGGCAGGUACAGGGGGUUAAGGAAAGAAGUAUCCCCAGACCCACCCACCUGCCAUUUCUGCCUCUGAGGACCAGCCAGGAGCUCCCCCAGGCUUCUGGUGAGCACAGAGGUCACCAGGAAAAGGACAGUAACUUUGGAUAAGCUCCUGGCCAGUGACAUGCUGGGUGAGGAACGGAGGAAUAACAGUGAAUCGCUGAGGACCUUUGGAGCCAGGAGAUUUCUAACGUAUUAUCUCAGUUCAUCUCUGUCACGGUUUUGUGGGGAACAGCUAACUGAUGAGGAAAUGGAGACUCAGGGAAGUUGGCCAUUGUCCUGUCCUCUGCAGGGCGGCUCCAUUAGCCAAGCCCAUGCUGACAAACCACCUAGGAAGUGCAAGUGCCCAAGCCCUGUGUCCCUUAAUAUGACAUUCCUUACCUCCAGAUCACAGGCAAGAUGGGGUCCCACAGACAGGAGGGUUCAGAAAUGAUGAUGGUCUUAUGUGCUAGGUGGACAGCUUUUACCCAAAGUCUGGAUCUGUCUAGAAGGAGGUUGCUCAGAAAAGGGCUCACAGGGUCUGAGCCCCAGGCUGGGUGUUGUUCACACUCAGAUAUCUGUAAGACAAUGGUGCAGGUGGAAGGGACCACAGCCUGAAGUCUUCCAACAGCCCCACAGGGAUGGCCCCUGACAGUGUCAGCAUCAGUAUCUGGGGGCUUUGAGAUGUAAGUUGUACAGCUGAGGCCAAGGAGGUGGAAUGGAGAUUGUGUUGGGGACAGCUGUGAGAAGCAGGCUGGACAGAAAGAUUAUAAAUGGUGGUGGAAAGUGAGAUGCAGUCCAUGGAGAAAGGCCAAAGAAAUCAGAAAACAACUGUUAGAAUUCUCAUGACUAUUGGCCAUGAGGCUAGGUGGCUUGGUGUCAGGAUUCUAGCUGUACUACUCAGUGGC
rnacentral:lncRNA from 1 species